rnacentral:rRNA from 1 species
GACGUAGGGUGCAAGCGUUGUCCGGAUUUACUGGGCGUAAAGAGCGCGUAGGCGGCUCAUUAAGUGUGAAGUGAAAUCUUCAGGGCUCAACCCGAAAACUGCUUUACAUACUGAUGAGCUUGAGGAAUGCAGAGGUUAGUGGAAUUCCUGGUGUAGCGGUGAAAUGCGUAGAUAUCAGGAGGAACACCUGCGGUGUAGACGGCUUUCUGGACCAUUGCUGACGCUGAGACACGAAAGCGUGGGUAGCAAACAGG